UGAUGUUUUUAUAAACAUUUACCCUUACCGUGGAUCAAGUCGUUAAAAAUGGAAAACUAUAGUCUGAAGUUCAGCUUGGCGUCCAUUUCGCUGAACUAGUAUACAUAAUGUUUAGGGGCCAGCUGAUGCCCGCCUCAGGGUGCGGACAUUUUCUCGCUGUGUUGUAGAUCCAUUGGUGGCCUUGGGCUGUUUUCUGCUCUUUGGUCGGGUUGUUGUUUAAUGGACACAUUCCCCGUUUCCAUUCUCAAUCCUACAUUAUAACAACCUUUUUUAUUAAUAAUUACACAACGACUUUAAACAAAUCAUGGAAUUGGAAACAGUAGGAUGUUCGUCGUCAGGAAUUGUUUUUCUCAUUAACGACCCUGCCGAUGAGGAGACGUCAGAUUUUAUUCGAGAGAAACUUUCCGACAAUAACAUACUUUGCCAUGGACUGUAUGAGACCCCUAGUAAAAAGCUACUUCAAGUAUUUAUCAAUUUGGCUCCUUCAGUAAAGAAAGCUGUAUUUCUCUUCUCAUAUUCAUCUUCAAGAAAUAAAAUGUUUCAGCACAUAAUGCUUGACUUCCGGUUUGAAGAAGUGAAAAGCGGUAAUUUUUUUUUACCACAAAACAACGUUAUUUAAGCAUAUUUUGUAAUAUAUUCAACCCAUAGAAAAUAAAACUGUGAACAACAAUCAUCAUGUUCAGGGGAAGGUGACAAUUGAAUACGGCAUAUCGUUUAAUUUACAUUUAAUCGUUCUUACCUAUAUGAUACAGCCAAUCACCCAAAUAAAACGUAAACAUGAGUAUACCAGAUAAUGAUGUUGUUGAUAUAGGUUUAGAAAAAAUGAAGAAUACUUAUCCAAUCAAUGACACUUUUAAAUCAAAAC